rnacentral:rRNA from 1 species
ACCUGAAACCGUGUACGUACAAGCAGUGGGAGCCUCUUAAUGGGGUGACUGCGUACCUUUUGUAUAAUGGGUCAGCGACUUAUAUUCUGUAGCAAGGUUAACCGAAUAGGGGAGCCGAAGGGAAACCGAGUCUUAACUGGGCGUUAAGUUGCAGGGUAUAGACCCGAAACCCGGUGAUCUAGCCAUGGGCAGGUUGAAGGUUGGGUAACACUAACUGGAGGACCGAACCGACUAAUGUUGAAAAAUUAGCGGAUGACUUGUGGCUGGGGGUGAAAGGCCAAUCAAACCGGGAGAUAGCUGGUUCUCCCCGAAAGCUAUUUAGGUAGCGCCUCGUGAAUUCAUCUCCGGGGGUAGAGCACUGUUUCGGCAAGGGGGUCAUCCCGACUUACCAACCCGAUGCAAACUGCGAAUACCGGAGAAUGUUAUCACGGGAGACACACGGCGGGUGCUAACGUCCGUCGUGAAGAGGGAAACAACCCAGACCGCCAGCUAAGGUCCCAAAGUCAUGGUUAAGUGGGAAACGAUGUGGGAAGGCCCAGACAGCCAGGAUGUUGGCUUAGAAGCAGCCAUCAUUUAAAGAAAGCGUAAUAGCUCACUGGUCGAGUCGGCCUGCGCGGAAGAUGUAACGGGGCUAAACCAUGCACCGAAGCUGCGGCAGCGACACUAUGUGUUGUUGGGUAGGGGAGCGUUCUGUAAGCCUGUGAAGGUGGCCUGUGAGGGUUGCUGGAGGUAUCAGAAGUGCGAAUGCUGACAUAAGUAACGAUAAAGCGGGUGAAAAGCCCGCUCGCCGGAAGACCAAGGGUUCCUGUCCAACGUUAAUCGGGGCAGGGUGAGUCGACCCCUAAGGCGAGGCCGAAAGGCGUAGUCGAUGGGAAACAGGUUAAUAUUCCUGUACUUGGUGUUACUGCGAAGGGGGGACGGAGAAGGCUAUGUUGGCCGGGCGACGGUUGUCCCGGUUUAAGCGUGUAGGCUGGUUUUCCAGGCAAAUCCGGAAAAUCAAGGCUGAGGCGUGAUGACGAGGCACUACGGUGCUGAAGCGACAAAUGCCCUGCUUCCAGGAAAAGCCUCUAAGCAUCAGGUAACAUCAAAUCGUACCCCAAACCGACACAGGUGGUCAGGUAGAGAAUACCAAGGCGCUUGAGAGAACUCGGGUGAAGGAACUAGGCAAAAUGGUGCCGUAACUUCGGGAGAAGGCACGCUGAUAUGUAGGUGAAGCGACUUGCUCGUGGAGCUGAAAUCAGUCGAAGAUACCAGCUGGCUGCAACUGUUUAUUAAAAACACAGCACUGUGCAAACACGAAAGUGGACGUAUACGGUGUGACGCCUGCCCGGUGCCGGAAGGUUAAUUGAUGGGGUUAGCGGUAACGCGAAGCUCUUGAUCGAAGCCCCGGUAAACGGCGGCCGUAACUAUAACGGUCCUAAGGUAGCGAAAUUCCUUGUCGGGUAAGUUCCGACCUGCACGAAUGGCGUAAUGAUGGCCAGGCUGUCUCCACCCGAGACUCAGUGAAAUUGAAC